CCUACGGGAGGCAGCAGUUAGGAAUCUUGCGCAAUGGGCGAAAGCCUGACGCAGCGAUGCCGCGUGCGGGAUGAAGGCCUUCGGGUCGUAAACCGCUUUCAGCAGGGACGAUAAUGACGGUACCUGCAGAAGAAGCCCCGGCCAACUACGUGCCAGCAGCCGCGGUAAUACGUAGGGGGCGAGCGUUGUCCGGAUUUAUUGGGCGUAAAGAGCUCGUAGGCGGUUUGGUAAGUCGGGUGUGAAAUCUCCACGCUCAACGUGGAGGGGCCACUCGAUACUGCCAUGACUCGAGUCCGGUAGAGGAGUGUGGAAUUCCCGGUGUAGCGGUGAAAUGCGCAGAUAUCGGGAGGAACACCCGUAGCGAAGGCGGCACUCUGGGCCGGAACUGACGCUGAGGAGCGAAAGCGUGGGGAGCAAACAGGAUUAGAUACCCCAGUAGUC
rnacentral:rRNA from 1 species